CUAUUCACGUACUGAGGCGCUCAUUGUGGGAGGGGAGUGUUAUCGUUCCCCACAACUGACGUCAUGUCACCUCUUGCUGCCGCGUGACAUCACGAGAUAACAGGAAGCUGCUGCUCCGCCCGUGCACUGAAAUCCGAGGCCAAGCCGCUUGAGCUGCUGUGCCGCUUUUGUUUUCAGAAGCGACCUGCCCACAACACAACACAAGCUGUCGCUUCCUCUGCAGAAUUGGUCUGAUGGAGCAAAGGCACUCGGCGCAGCUCGGUGCAAAAAGGCAUCAAUGCGACCGGUGUGCAUACAGCACGGAUAGUACUGCACAUUUCACGUGGCACCAGAGAACCCACACGGGAGAGAAACCCUUCAAGUGCAAUGUGUGUGGGAAGGCGUUUGCACAGUCACCAAAUCUUUAUGUACACCAGAGAACACACACGGGAGAGAAACCCUUCAAGUGC